rnacentral:rRNA from 1 species
UACAGAGGUGGCAAGCGUUGUUCGGAAUUACUGGGCGUAAAGCGUGCGCAGGCGGUUUUGUAAGCCAGAUGUGAAAUCCCCGGGCUUAACCUGGGAAUGGCAUUUGGGACUGCAAGGCUGGAGUUUGGCAGAGGAGACUGGAAUUCCCGGUGUAGCGGUGAAAUGCGCAGAUAUCGGGAGGAACACCAGUAGCGAAGGCGGCUCGCUGGGCCAUUCCUGACGCUGAGACGCGAAAGCUAGGGGAGCGAACAGGA